GUGAGGAAUAUUGGUCAAUGGGCGCAAGCCUGAACCAGCCAUGCCGCGUGCAGGAAGACGGUCCUAUGGAUUGUAAACUGCUUUUAUUUGGGAAUAAACUCCGGUACGUGUACCGGCCUGAAGGUACCAAAUGAAUAAGCACCGGCUAACUCCGUGCCAGCAGCCGCGGUAAUACGGAGGGUGCAAGCGUUAUCCGGAAUCAUUGGGUUUAAAGGGUCCGCAGGCGGUCUUAUAAGUUAGUGGUGAAAGCCUACAGCUCAACUGUAGAACUGCCAUUGAUACUGUAGGACUUGAAUUCGAUCGAAGUGGGCGGAAUGUGACAUGUAGCGGUGAAAUGCUUAGAUAUGUCACAGAACACCGAUAGCGAAGGCAGCUCACUAGGUCUGGAUUGACGCUCAGGGACGAAAGCGUGGGGAGCAAACAGGAUUAGAAACCCCAGUAGUCC
rnacentral:rRNA from 1 species